CACGGAGUUAGCCGGGGCUUCUUCUGCUGGUACCGUCAUUAUCUUCCCAGCUGAAAGAGCUUUACAACCCUAAGGCCUUCAUCGCUCACGCGGCAUGGCUAGAUCAGGGUUUCCCCCAUUGUCUAAGAUUCCCCACUGCUGCCUCCCGUAGGAGUCUGGGCCGUGUCUCAGCCCCAGUGUGGCUGAUCAUCCUCUCAAACCAGCUAUGGAUCGUCGGCUUGGUAGGCCAUUACCCCACCAACUACCUAAUCCAACGCGGGCCGAUCCUUUGCCGAUAAACUCUUUCCCCCGGAAGGGCACAUACGGUAUUACUCCCAGUUUCCCGGGGCUAUUCCGUAGCAAAGGGCACGUUCCCACGCGUUACUCACCCGUCCGCCGCUAACCCCGAAGGGUUCGCUCGACUUGCAUGUGUUAGGCCUGCCGCCAGCGUUCGUUCUGAGCCAGGAUCAAACUC
rnacentral:rRNA from 1 species